rnacentral:rRNA from 1 species
UGGUGAAUAUUGCGCAAUGGGCGAAAGCCUGAUCUAGCCGUGCCGCGUGAGCGAUGAAGGCCUUAGGGUUGUAAAGCUCUUUCACCGGGGAAGAUAAUGACGGUACCCGGAGAAGAAGCCCCGGCUAACUCCGUGCCAGCAGCCGCGGUAAUACGGAGGGGGCUAGCGUUGUUCGGAAUUACGGGGCGUAAAGCGCGCGUAGGCGGGCUGUUAAGUCGGGGGUGAAAUCCCGGGGCUCAACCCCGGAACUGCCUUCGAUACUGGCAGCCUGGAGUCCGAGAGAGGUGAGUGGAAUUCCGAGUGUAGAGGUGAAAUUCGUAGAUAUUCGGAGGAACACCAGUGGCGAAGGCGGCUCACUGGCUCGGUACUGACGCUGAGGUGCGAAAGCGUGGGGAGCAA